rnacentral:rRNA from 2 species
ACCAAAUUCUCAACGAUGGAUAUCUUGGUUCCUAUUACGAUGAAGAACGCAGCGAAGUGCGAUAAGCAAUGCGAAUUGCAGAACCGUGAGUCAUCAGAUUUUUGAACGCAACUGGCGCUAGAAGGUUAUCCUUUUAGCAUGCUUGUUUCAGUG